AAUGGCGCACCUCCUAAACCACACUCACCGCUGAACCAGAACUUAGAAACCUUAACUUAGGCCACCCGGUGCAGAAAUGGGAUUGACAUCGGCGGAGACCAGUUCUACUGCAUUUACAGCUAUGAUGGUAGAGCAUCUCAAACUCCAGCAGGAUCCUUGCUACCCUGUUGAAGUUCCUGAUGAUCCUCUUGGCCUCUGGUGUGGAAAGAACUCCAGGAUGCUACACAGGAAUAUAAUGACUCUCCUGUGCUCCAGCCAAAACAGACACAAAGCUUUCCAGUGAUGAUAUGAACUCCUGUUUGACAGCCUGGGCCUGGGGACUGGCCAGCUCCCCCCAGCCAUGGUUCAUCUUCCUCAGUGUGGGG